rnacentral:rRNA from 1 species
GACGAACGCUGGCGGCGUGCUUAACACAUGCAAGUCGAACGGAAAGGCCCUGCUUUUGUGGGGUGCUCGAGUGGCGAACGGGUGAGUAACACGUGAGUAACCUGCCCUUGACUUUGGGAUAACUUCAGGAAACUGGGGCUAAUACCGGAUAGGAGCUCCUGCUGCAUGGUGGGGGUUGGAAAGUUUCGGCGGUUGGGGAUGGACUCGCGGCUUAUCAGCUUGUUGGUGGGGUAGUGGCUUACCAAGGCUUUGACGGGUAGCCGGCCUGAGAGGGUUAACGGCCACAUUGGGACUGAGAUACGGCCCAGACUCCUACGGGAGGCAGCAGGGGGGAAUAUUGCACAAUGGGCGGAAGCCUGAUGCAGCAACGCCGCGUGCGGGAUGACGGCCUUCGGGUUGUAAACCGAUUUCGCCUGUGACGAAGCGUGAGUGACGGUAAUGGGUAAAGAAGCACCGGCUAACUACGUG